CCCUUAGAUGUUCUGGGCCGCACGCGCGCUACAAUGGUCUUCGCAAACGGAUGCAUUCUCGAAGGAGAAUGCCAAUCUUGGAAUCUAUGCCUUGGUCGGGACAGUUGCUUGCAAUUUUUCGACUCGAACCAGGAAUUCCUUGUAAUCGUGAUUCAUCACAUCACGAUGAAUACGUCCCUGCCCUUUGUACACGCCGCCCGUCGCUCCUACCGAUCGAAGAGUUAGGUGAAUUGUUUUGAUCGAUAAGAUUUGACUAUGGUCAACUCUCGUUGUGAAAUUCUGUGAAUCUGACUGUUUAGAGGAAGGAAAAGUCGUAACA
rnacentral:rRNA from 1 species